CCCUUAGAUGUUCUGGGCCGCACGCGUGCUACACUGAGUAAUUCAAUGGGUAAGGGAACGCUAGAGCAUUACCUAAUCUUGAAAUUUGCUCGUGAUGGGGAUCGACGGUUGCAAUUUUCCGUCGUGAACGAGGAAUACCUUGUAGGCGCAUGUCAUCAUCCCGCGCUGAAUACGUCCCUGCCCUUUGUACACACCGCCCGUCGCUCCUACCGAUUGAGUGGUCCGGUGAGGCUUUGGGAUCUGAGCGGAAAGAGCGUUUCGCUGUUUCUGCUCGGAAAACUCAGUCGAACCUUAUCAUUUAGAGGAAGGAGAAGUCGUAACA
rnacentral:rRNA from 1 species